rnacentral:rRNA from 1 species
GCCAAAGCCAUACCACCCUGACUCCUCCCGGUUCCAUCUGAUGGCUGAAGCUAAGCAGGGUAGGGUCUGGUUGUACUUGGAUGGCAGAAGGAGAGGGGGAUAGUGGCA